rnacentral:rRNA from 1 species
GAUGAACGCUGGCGGCGUGCCUAAUACAUGCAAGUCGAGCGAACGGACGAGAAGCUUGCUCUUCUGAUGUUAGCGGCGGACGGGUGAGUAACACGUGGAUAACCUACCUAUAAGACUGGGAUAACUUCGGGAAACCGGAGCUAAUACCGGAUAAUAUUUUGAACCGCAUGGUUCAAAAGUGAAAGACGGUCUUGCUGUCACUUAUAGAUGGAUCCGCGCUGCAUUAGCUAGUUGGUAAUGUAACGGCUUACCAAGGCAACGAUGCAUAGCCGACCUGAGAGGGUGAUCGGCCACACUGGAACUGAGACACGGUCCAGACUCCUACGGGAGGCAGCAGUAGGGAAUCUUCCGCAAUGGGCGAAAGCCUGACGGAGCAACGCCGCGUGAGUGAUGAAGGUCUUCGGAUCGUAAAACUCUGUUAUUAGGGAAGAACAUAUGUGUAAGUAACUGUGCACAUCUUGACGGUACCUAAUCAGAAAGCCACGGCUAACUACGUG